rnacentral:rRNA from 1 species
GCAAGUCGAGCGAAGUUUUUAUUAACUUAGCGGCGGACGGGUGAGUAACACGUGGGAACGUGCCCUUUAGUCAGGAAUAACUCAUGGAAACGUGAGCUAAUACCGGAUACACCCUUCGGGGGAAAGAUUUAUCGCUAGGAUCGGCCCGCGGUGGAUUAGGUAGUUGGUGAGGUAAAAGCUCACCAAGCCAACGAUCCAUAGCUGGUUUGAGAGGAUGAUC